CUGACAAGCAGACCAUGUGAGUGCACUCUGCCCUGUAAUCCAAUAGGACAUGUGCACUGUGCAUGUUACGGGCUGGGCCCUAUGUAUAGCAAAGGCCUCUGUUUUCGGUCCAGAAGGCUGAUUAGGAGAGACAUGGUGCAAAGAGAGAGCAGUGUUGUGAGAGAGCCUUGUCCUGCUUCAUUUCACGUACGAUAUUGCCUUUAGUUCCCUGUUGUUGGUUUGGAGGAUGCACAGAGCAGCCCUCAGCCACCACAGCUCCCUGUACAGUCACUGCCUGUGUUAGUACAAGCCGUGUGAGUCCAGUCAGGCGUCACGGUGUGCUGAGCUGACAGCACAGGACUAAAAGGUUACAACAUCUUCACAUUUGUUUUCCCACCUCCUCGCUCCCAUCCUCUGCCAGCUUUGCUGUAUUGAUUCCAGAGUCAGUGAUUCAAGAAACUGUCGCGAGUGAUGGAGCUGGAAUUCCCUGUGCUCAGAGUAGCCGAAGAAUGCCAUAGAUGAGGAUGAAACAGACCUGGACAUUGGAGAGGUACCUGGUCUCAGGGCUUUCUUGCUGAUGAUUCCUCCCAUGCUGUCCUCCUGGCUCUUGGGUCACAGGAGGACCCGUAAAAGAUUUGCUGUUCUGAGGGGUACAGGAUGCAAUGUUCCAGAUCAGCAUUUCUGCUGGAAGUGGGGAUUCAAAUAAUGUGACCAGACUGUGCUUCCAGGAAUAGCACUGGAUUGGGGGGAAUAACUGUGGGAAAACUUUCAUAUUCCCCAGCUCUAGCUGCGAGUGAGACAACACCACAGGCUGAGAGACAGGUUUAGUGACUGAAGCGUUGUCUGGGUAAUCAGCAGUCUUUAGCAUUGACAUCUUGUUUGAACAUGUGUACAAUUCACCAUGCUGCUAUUGUAAUGGACAACUAUUGCUUUUUAUUACAAUUUCCAGCCUCUCCUGCCAGCGGAAAUCACUGUAGGGAACCAUGCAAGGGCUCUGCUUGCAUAACAUUCAGUAAUCAGUCAGAAUUUCAGCUGCUCAGCCACCAUGUGUUUCUGCUGGGCUUCUUCCACAGAAUUCCUGUGCCUGGGAGGCUAAACUACUUAACUGCUCAAUAUCUCACCCUUCUAUCCAAGCCAAAUCAUCAUCACAACAAAAAUGAACAAAGAAAUCGUUGUGUGAUACGUGGCGCUAAUAAAGACUUAUAACCAGCAUGCUAAAGAUCCUCAUUAUUCUCUGAAGGAUUUAGAAUGUAGCAUGAAGUUGAUGAUGUCUCUUGAUGUAUAAAACUACUGUUGUUAGGGUGUGCUAAGCCCACUUGGUGAUACCAUAUCUAGAUUAAGUUGUUUCAACUUAUUAUAAUUGCUACCAAGCUGUCACUUGCUCAGGCAAGGAAAAAAUAUUGUUCCUGGAGUUGGAAAUGUGUUGUGUGUUCCUCUUCACCAUAUGCCUGUCUUCUAGGACAACCUCCUAUGUCCACAGCCUCCUGUGAAUAUUUGUUUAGAACAAUUGAUUUUCAUCAUAAAUGUGUAUUGUGUCAGCCUUAUAAAGCUAGUGAAUCCAGGGACUAUCAGGUGUAGCCUGCGAGUUUGUUCCGUUUUAUCUAUCUCUUCAUAUUAUUUCAAAACACCAGUUCCUCUAACUUCAGCUUUUUUCAGUAUAAGUAUUCUAAUUCUCAUUUUUUGUUUUGUUAAAUACAUUGUCUGCAGGUGAGAAGCCUUAUUUUAUUAGUGUGGUUUUCUAACAUGUUGCAUCAGACACUAUUAGCUUGCAUUAUAAAUACUCAAAAUUAUACAUAAAGCAUACCUUGAAGUUUUAGUUGUAAAUACAGUAAUAGCAUUUCAGGAAUUAUUUACUUUAUCUAGUUAAUAUAUUCUUGCUUGUUUCAACCUUGUCAAUAAUCCCCAAGCUUUUGAGCCACAGACAGUAAAUGGAAGUGUUAAUGAACUUGGGAUCUUCAUUAAUAAAAUCAUGCUAAGUCUGUUACGUAGAAAAGGCCGAUAAUUUAUGAACCAGUAGAUACUGACUAACCUGAAAGCUUCAGCUAAUUGUUACAGCAAUGGUAUAGGUAAGUCCCCUUUUACAUGUCUUUAGAUUGUAAAAAAUAAAUCUAAUUGACAUUUUCCAAAGGAUCAAUAAGAAAUUGAAUUAAAUGUGAGUAAAGAGGGAGUUCUUAAAUUUCUAUCUUGUCUUUCUGAUGGAAAAUGUGGAGAUUUUACUGCAGAAGUAACUGAUUCAUUAACCUUGUGCUUUGUCACCACAGAAAGGAAGUAGACAAAUAUUUGGAAAAUGUGUGUUUUAAAUACUCUCUUGUUUCAGCCAAUGUUCUGGAUUGCUUGUGUGGUAUUAAUAAUGUUUAUUAAUAUUUUGGUUUAACAUUUUCCUAAGUCACCAGUGUUCCUUUUGCCAAAGGCAUGAGUUGUGAAUCCAGCUGGAUACCCGGGGAUUGGAUUUACUUGCUGCAGAUCAAAUUAUCUAAUAUUAAAUACAUAUUAGCAUCUGACUGCACCAGUUUUAUCAACAGCAUUUGCCAAUAACUGAUAACUUAUUUUAAUACUUGUUUCCACCACAUUGUUAGACUGAGGAUAAUGGAAAUGAGCAUUUAUCUAUAGUGACAGAAUACUGUGUCAGUACCACUGAGAAAGAAUCAUGUUGGGUUUUUUCUUUCAUUUGCUGUCUCUUUUACUUAGUUGGCAACUCUGAGACCAAUAAGCCUUUCCUGCAUUGGAAAGUCUUAGAGAUAUGGGUGGCGUCUUUCAGCUGGAAAAUCAGUAUCAAGCUUUUCUUUGCAUUCCAUGUUGUACCAACCUUCCUAUGUGUGCUGCCAUUUGCUCAAGUCUAGGGCUUGCUGUGCCUUUGCACAGUGAAAAUACUCUUAGGCACUACCCUUAAAUGUUUUUCAGUCUCCUAUUUACUCAUAUAUCCAGUCUCUAUAAUCCUUUAAUGGUGACAGGCUUAUCAGUGUAAUCUCUGAAUUUUACCUGGAUAUCCCUUGCUCUCUCUGUUGUGUUUUUUUUUUUAUUGCACAUAAGACUGCUUCUAGCAUUGUACUCACUUGUGUGCCAUUGUCCAAUUUAAUAAAUGUUUAAUUUCCUUUCAA